AUUGAACGCUGGCGGCAGGCCUAAUACAUGCAAGUCGAGCGGAGCGGCGGACGGGCGAGUAAUGACUAGGAAUCUGCCUGGUCUUUGGGGCUAACGUCCGGUAACGGGAGCUAAGACCGCAUACUAUUAGAUGAGCCUAGGUGGCAUUAGCUAGUUGGUGGGGUAAAGGCCUACCAAGGCGACGAUCCGUAACUGGUCUGAGAGGAUGAUCAGCCACACUGGAACUGAGACACGGUCCAGACUCCUACGGGAGGCAGCAGUGGGGAAUAUUGGGCAAUGGGCGAAAGCCUGAUCCAGCCAUGCCGCGUGUGUGAAGAAGGUCUUCGGAUUGUAAAGCACUUUAAGUUGGGAAGCGUUACCAACACAAUAAGCACCGGCUAACUUCGUGCCAGCAGCCGCGGUAAUUC
rnacentral:rRNA from 1 species